rnacentral:rRNA from 1 species
GAAUCUUGCGCAAUGGGCGAAAGCCUGACGCAGCAACGCCGCGUGCGGGAAGAAGGCUUUCGGGCUGUAAACCGCUUUCAGUAGGAACGAAACUGACGGUACCUACAGAAGAAGGAGCGGCCAACUAUGUGCCAGCAGCCGCGGUGAUACAUAGGCUCCAAGCGUUGUCCGGAUUUAUUGGGCGUAAAGAGCUCGUAGGCGGUCGAGUAAGUCGUGUGUGAAAACUUUGGGCUUAACCCAAAGAUUGCACUCGAUACUGCUCAACUUGAGUUCGGUAGGGGAGUGGGGAAUUCCUUGUGUAGCGGUGAAAUGCGCAGAUAUAAGGAGGAACACCGGUGGCGAAGGCGCCACUCUGGGCCGAUACUGACGCUGAGGAGCGAAAGCGUGGGGAGCAAACAGGAUUAGAUA